AUUGAACGCUGGCGGCAUGCUUUACACAUGCAAGUCGAACGGCAGCGCGGGCUUCGGCCUGGCGGCGAGUGGCGAACGGGUGAGUAAUACAUCGGAACGUGCCCAGUAGUGGGGGAUAGCUCGGCGAAAGCCGGAUUAAUACCGCAUACGACCUGGGGGUGAAAGCGGGGGAUCUUCGGACCUCGCGCUAUUGUAGCGGCCGAUGGCAGAUUAGCUAGUUGGUGGGGUAAAGGCCUACCAAGGCGACGAUCUGUAGCUGGUCUGAGAGGACGACCAGCCACACUGGGACUGAGACACGGCCCAGACUCCUACGGGAGGCAGCAGUGGGGAAUUUUGGACAAAGGGCGAAAGCCUGAUCCAGCAAUGCCGCGUGUGUGAUGAAGGCCUUCGGGUUGUAAAGCACUUUUGGCGGGAACGAAAAGGACUGUGCCAAUACCACGGUUCGAUGACGGUACCCGCAGAAUAAGCACCGGCUAACUACGUG
rnacentral:rRNA from 1 species